GGCAACGCUGCGGCCCCGCCCACGUCAUGGCGCCUGAGGAGAACGCGGGUACCAAACUCUUGCUGCAGAGUUUCGAGCGCCGCUUCCUAGCGGCGCGCACACUGCGCUCCUUCCCCUGGCAGGUGGGCGGCGGGGCGAGCGGAGAGGCCUGCGGGGCUUGCGGAAGUCCAGGGGCAGACGGGAUGGGUCUCCCUGCUGAAACCCCCGGCGCUCCUGCCACACGUGCUGUAUUGCCCAGAAGCCAUCGUGUCCCUGGUCGGGGUCCUGCGGAGGCUGGCUGCCUGCUGGGAGCACCAGCGGGCUCCUGAGGUCUACAUGGCCUUUACCGUCCGCAACCCAGAGACGUGCCAGGUGUUCACCACCGAGCUAGGCUGGGCUGGGAUCAGAUGGGAAGCGGAAGCUCAUCAUGACCAGAAACUGUUUCCCUAUGGAGAGCACUUGGAGAUGGCAAUGCUGAACCUCACACUGUAGGACUCAUACACGACUCCAACGGGAUUGUUAGAAUCAAAUCACUCUCGUGGGAAGAAUUUUUAUAUGGGAAAGCGGAUAAAACUUUCAUUGGACUGGAAUGUUUGGAGAAUGUUAAAUUCCAAAUCAGGAACCACAAUCUGCCCUCUAAUAAGACAUCGGCUAUCUAAGCAUGUGGGUGCCCCCUUUCUGCCAGCAGUUCUGGUUCUUAAGAAAAUCACCAUAAAUCAGACAUGAAAAUUCUGGCUCCAAAAAUAGCAUUUUCUUUGUGCAAAUAAAAACGUGUGUAUCAAGUAUGACGUUCCCCCAACGUGGACACACUCGGUUCCUCACAAAGCCAAGCCCGCUGCAGCUGCCACAUCCCUGGACACACUCGGUUCCUCACAAAGCCAAGCUCGCUGCAGCUGCCACAUCCCUGGACACAUUCGGUUCCUCACAAAGCCAAGCCCGCGGCAGCUGCCACAUCCCUGGACACACUCGGUUCCUCACAAAGCCAAGCCCGCUGCAGCUGCCACAUCCCUGGGCUUGUGGUGCAGCAGGUGCUUUUCUCAAGACAGGAAUCAAAGUGUUAGGAACAUGGCAGAAAGGUGACACCUGGAGACCAAAUGCAGGAUGAGGAGUACUGCAGAGGUCACAGGGAAGUCACAGAACAGUAAUACGCUAGCAGGGACAUGGGGCGUGAAGAACAGAAGAAGACAGGAAGCAUUUCUGAGACUCCAAAGAAGAAAUCAGGGCCAACCACAGCUUCCCGGGUCAUUCACCAGGUGGCACCACUGCCGUCAUUUCAGCUUCUGGCCACUGGGAGGCGCUGCUUGAAAGGGUUUGCCCUGAGACUCCAAGAAGAAGCUGCGGGAAGGACAGCAGGGGCCCUGGGGUUUUAGCCUCUGGCCCAGGAGUUAUGUGUCCAUAACCAAAGGGAGCACAGUCUGCACCCAGCUCUCAUCCCAUCAGAGCUGCUGCGACUCCCGCAGGUUCUUCCGGAACUGGUUUAGCUUGCCUUCAGGAUCAGGAAAGUUUGAGAAAAGCAUCUGCAAAAUACUGAAGAGCAGAGCUUACCUCAUUGCCUGUCCCCACCCCAUCCCAGGUCACCACCUGGAUGACCCCAGCUCCCCGACCCAACAACAACCCCUCCCAAGUCCCUAGCUCCCUCACUUGGACUUGAGACCCUUCACACCCCAGCAGCGCUCCGCCUCCAUCUUGACAUGCUUUCUGGAAACUUCCCCGUAUGUCCCACUUUCCCACACUUGGUGCCCUGGAGCACCUUCCGGCCUCUACAUGAUGUACGUUCCCCUGUGAGCACCCUCCUCUCGGCCUCUGGCCAACACAGUCCCACCCAUCUGUGGGUAACAAGGGGGUGUUCUUUUCAGCCUUGCUAAACUGUCUGAAUCAAGGAUCACAAACUACAGCCUGCAGGCCAAAUCCAGCCCACAGCCUGUGUUUGUAAAUAAAGCUUUAUUGGAACAAAGCCACACCCCU
rnacentral:lncRNA from 1 species